rnacentral:rRNA from 1 species
ACGGGGAGCAGCAGGCGCGAAACCUUUACACUGCACGCCAGUGCGAUAAGGGGACCCCGAGUGCGAGGGCAUACAGUCCUCGCUUUUCGUGACCGUAAGAAGGUCUCAGAGUAAGUGCUGGGCAAGACCGGUGCCAGCCGCCGCGGUAAUACCGGCAGCACGAGUGAUAGCCACUAUUAUUGGGCCUAAAGCGUCCGUAGCCGGCUACACAGGUCCGUCGGGAAAUCCACCCGCUCAACGGGUGGGCGUCCGGCGGAAACCAGGUAGCUUGGGGCCGGAAGACCAGAGGGGUACGUCCGGGGUAGGAGUGAAAUCCCGUAAUCCUGGACGGACCACCGGUUGCGAAAGCGCCUCUGGAGAACGGACCCGACGGUGAGGGACGAAAGCUUGGGUCUCGAACCGGAUUAGAUACCCGGGUAGUCCAAGCUGUAAACGAUGCUCGCUAGGUGCGGCGCAGGCUACGAGCUUGCGCUGUGCCGUAGGGAAGCCGAGAAGCGAGCCGCCUGGGAAGUACGUCCGCAAGGAUGAAACUUAAAGGAAUUGGCGGGGGAGCAC